rnacentral:rRNA from 1 species
CAAUAGCGUAUAUUAAAGUUGUUGCAGUUAAAAAGCUCGUAGUUGGAUUUCUGGUGGGAGCGAUCGGUCUGGCGCUUAGCGCGAGUACUUGCAUCGUCUCCGGCCAUCCUUGGGGAGAGUCUGUCUGGCAUUAGGUUGUCGGGCAGAGGAUCCUCAUCGUUUACUGUGAAAAAAUUAGAGUGUUCAAAGCAGGCUUAUGCCGUUGAAUAUAUUAGCAUGGAAUAAUAAGAUAGGACUUUGGUACUAUUUUGUUGGUUUGCGCACCAAAGUAAUGAUUAAUAGGGACAGUUGGGGGUAUUCGUAUUCCGUUGUCAGAGGUGAAAUUCUUGGAUUUACGGAAGACGAACUACUGCGAAAGCAUUUACCAAGGAUGUUUUUAUUAA